CGAGCGGGAGCAGAAGCAGCGUGACUUUGACCGCAAGCUCCUCCUGGCCAAGUCCAAGAUUGAAAUGGAGGAGACCGACAAGGAGCAGCUGACAGCAGAGGCCAAGGAGCUGCGCCAAAAGGUCAAGUACCUGCAGGAUCAGCUGAGCCCACUCACCCGACAGCGUGAGUACCAGGAAAAGGAGAUCCAGCGGCUCAACAAGGCCCUGGAGGAAGCACUGAGCAUCCAAACCCCGCCAUCAUCUCCACCAACAGCAUUUGGGAGCCCAGAAGGAGCAGGGGCCCUCCUAAGGAAACAGGAGCUGGUCACGCAGAAUGAGUUGCUGAAACAGCAGGUGAAGAUCUUCGAGGAGGACUUCCAGAGGGAGCGCAGUGAUCGUGAGCGCAUGAAUGAGGAGAAGGAAGAGCUGAAGAAGCAAGUGGAGAAGCUGCAGGCCCAGGUCACCCUGUCAAAUGCCCAGCAUUCAAAGAUGAGGAGAAGGCAAGAGAAGCCCUCAGACAGCAGAAGAGGAAAGCAAAGGCCUCAGGAGAGCGUUACCAUGUGGAGCCCCACCCAGAACAUCUCUGCGGGGCCUACCCCUACGCCUACCCGCCCAUGCCAGCCAUGGUGCCACACCAUGGCUUCGAGGACUGGUCCCAGAUCCGCUACCCCCCUCCCCCCAUGGCCAUGGAGCACCCGCCCCCACUCCCCAACUCGCGCCUCUUCCAUCUGCCGGAAUACACCUGGCGUCUACCCUGUGGAGGGGUUCGAAAUCCAAAUCAGAGCUCCCAAGUGAUGGACCCUCCCACAGCCAGGCCUACAGAACCAGUCUCCAAAAAAUGACCGUGAGGGGCCUCAGUGAGACCAGAUUGUGUCAUUUGGCUCCACCUUCAUCUUGCAGAGCCAGCUGAUCUCAGAUUGCCAAGAAACUAGAAGCCACUUGCACGGUGUGGCCAGAGCCUCAGCUGGAUGAGAGGCUGAGAUGGGUGGCCAGCUUGUACACCAGUCCCUGAACUGAGCUGUUUACAGGACUGGGGAGGCUCCACCCAGAAGGCUUUCAUUUGUACUCUGCUGGGAGUGACUGGGAAAAACUCCUUCCCUGCUGCUGAGUGGAGAGAGGCCUCAUCCGGCUUUGACCCACCAUCCGUUGCAGAAGCCUCCAGGAGCAGCAAUCCUAAGAGUGGGAGGCAGCCAAGACCCCCUUCCUUCAAAACCUCCCGGAAGUGGUUUCAGGCCCUCUAGUUGCCAUGACCAAUUUGUGUGUGUGUUUAAUUUUUGCUUCAAGCUCUGUAGCAGGACCUGCCCCACGCACACCCCUACCCCUCUGUGAGGAGCUGUGGGAAGUGUGGGUUUGUCUCCAGAACAGAAGAGAAUGAUGGAUAUUCUGGCUCUGGGGCCCUCUCCACCACCACUCACAGUAGCCUUGCUGAAGCCAUCACAGAUGGGAGAAGGCCAUGCCAGCCACGUCCGCCGAGGGGCGCCAGCCUGAAGCUGCCAGGCCCUGAGGUUCAGACCCUGGACCCCAUAGCUGGAGGCCUGUGGUGCCAGAAGCCCAGAUUAGGGUGGCUGUCCAUCCCUGGAUAGCUAUUUGCACGAAUCAUGGACAUAAAUCCAAGUUGAAGAAGA
rnacentral:lncRNA from 1 species